CCAGCCACGUUCCCUUAUCACUUUUCCAGCCCAGCUUUGUGACUGUCAGUGUUGGACGGAGAACUGAUAAGGGUGGGUGCCUGA
rfam:Heterocephalus glaber contig76589, whole genome shotgun sequence.